CUCGCGGGUGUCCAGCGUCUCCAUGAUGCCGGUCAUAUCGUUGGCAACCAGCUGCAGGGUGCUGGAGGUCGGCUCGGUCUGCCGCAACAUGGCUAGCACUCGGUCUGGAGCCCGGGGCUCACCUGGAGAGACAGGCCACAAGUGGUGACGCAAGACGAGCAGACGCUCCUCCUGGAAGAUCCCACGGCAGCCAGUUUUUGGCUCCAUUUGUCAGCGCUAUCACAAAAACCAAGUAUCUCAUCCGUCAUCAUACACUCUCUUUCUGUCUUUUUAAGUCUCCUUUUUAACAUCGUCUUUAGCUCUCCGUCUUCCUCCCCUCGCUCUCUCUACAUCCAGCUGUUUUACCCUCACACCCUGCAGCUACUUCCAUCCAUCUCUUCCUCCAUCGCAGCCUCACAUCACCAAGAGACACCAAUCCAAACAGACGGAUUAUUAGAUGAGCAGCACAGGAAGCGGAGGAGCGUUUCAACCACAUUCCUCAGUAUAAUAAGUGUGUGUGUGUGUGUGUGUGUGUGUGUGUGUGUGUAGAAACAGGUCAAACGGUGUUCGUGUGUGCUCCCGUGAAUGACGAGGAUUAACUGGAGGGAUUUCCACUCCAACUGACCCAGAAACAUGAAUGAGAUGAGUCAUGUUGGGUGAAACACGGAGAGAGAGACAGUGAUGACAACACCCAGACUAACAAAUAACAACACCACCAACCACAGCGGGCGGAGACGCCGUCCCAUAACCAGGAAACCAACAGCUCUGAACUCCACAGAGGCUCCGCUGAGUUACAGACGUCUCUUUCCCAAUGAAAGUCUAUGGGAAAAAGUACUUUUGGGCCUGAGGGCAUCACGUGACGGACACGGAAGUUGCAGUACCGCCGUUUGGCCACUACGAAAGUUGGGAUCGACGACCGGCGCUCUUCCUGGGGGCUUGAACUGCAGACGUUUGUGUGGCGUCCAAAAGACACACGAAACGCUGAAAUGCGACCUCAUGACACACUGAAAGUCUGUGUAAUGUCGUUGUAUUUCUACGCCUUCCUGUGACACCGGGUUGUUAAAAUAUCUAUAUACGGUAAAUUGUAUUGACCUUACCCUUCCGUGCACUGUUACCUCACAUUCAGGUCAUGCAUCUCUUUGCAAACUCAAACAAAUUAGAUGCAAAUGCAGAAACCUUUACUGUUCUAACACGAGGCUGCAAACACAUUUGGUUGUACAGUCCAAACACACACACACACACACACACACACACACACAGACACACAGACACACACACACACACACACACAUACACAGAGUAUGCACUGUAGCAUGCAAAGUAUGCACGGCAUUAAGAUCCUGUGUGUCACUGUUGUACUGAAACUAUGUGACGGAGAAAUGUGUGUGAAAGUGCGUCUGAGGUGUGUCUGCAGACUUCUAACAAUAGAUCCUGGAGGAACCGGUGAUGCUGGAGAUUUAAAAAAUAACCAUCAGAAAUAAAAGUAAAGGAGGGAAAGAUGCUCGUUAUUCUCCUGGUUUAUGUUUCUCUGCAGAAAGCGUUACUGUAAUACGCUCAUUUACACUCGUAUGUCUCUGAGGGAAUAAUAUUAUCAGCACUAAUGAAACACACUUGACCCUUUUUCUCCACAUUUGAACUAGAAGUGAAAACAAAGAGUGAAACUUGUGAGUCGUUUCAAUACGCCGUUGCGUUUUUCACUUCCUGGUCAAAAGCUUUUUAAGGAGGAAUUCGAAGACUCAAAACUAGAGCUGGGCAAUAUAUCCAUAUUAUAUUGAUAUCAGCCUCGGACUCGAUUUAUUUUCUAUGUAUUUAUGAGUGUAUUUUGCCCUUUUUUUGAGUUGAGAACUAACAAGAAACGCUGGCAACACUGAAAACUCAUCUAAUUUAAAAAAUGUAUAUCACCUAAUAUUUAUAAUCUGAUUCUGGGACACAUUUAGGUAUUGAAAUGUCACUUAUUCAAUAAAAAAUGCGAAGGGAUAGCCUGUAGUCCAGGAUAUUGGUUCAUGACUAUUUCAAUACAUGAAUUAUAUGAAGAGAUAAAGUAUUGCUCAACUAUAAUUUUCAUUUUCCUUCAGUGUUUUUCCUUCGCUCACUAACAACAGACUUAUUUGUGUUCUUCAGGGUGUUGACGUGAACUUCUUAAAGUGGCGUAAAGUUUCUUUGUUUCUCACCAUAAAGGAAAGUGUGAAUCCUUGAAGGCUAACGAACAUGUUGACUUCUUCA